rnacentral:rRNA from 1 species
AUUGAACGCUGGCGGCAUGCUUUACACAUGCAAGUCGGACGGCAGCACAGAGGAGCUUGCUUCUUGGGUGGCGAGUGGCGAACGGGUGAGUAACGCAUCGGAACGUACCGAGUAAUGGGGGAUAACUGUCCGAAAGGACAGCUAAUACCGCAUACGCCCUGAGGGGGAAAGCGGGGGAUCUUAGGACCUCGCGUUAUUCGAGCGGCCGAUGUCUGAUUAGCUGGUUGGCGGGGUAAAGGCCCACCAAGGCGACGCUCAGUAGCGGGUCUGAGAGGAUGAUCCGCCACACUGGGACUGAGACACGGCCCAGACUCCUACGGGAGGCAGCAGUGGGGAAUUUUGGACAAUGGGCGCAAGCCUGAUCCAGCCAUGCCGCGUGUCUGAAGAAGGCCUGCGGGUUGUAAAGGACUUUUGUCAGGGAAGAAAAGGGGCAUGUUAAUACCGUGCUCUGAUGACGGUACCUGAAGAAUAAGCACCGGCUAACUAC